GAUGAAGAACGCAGUGAAAUGCGAUAAGUAAUGUGAAUUGCAGAAUUCAGUGAAUCAUCGAAUCUUUGAACGCACCUUGCGCCCUUUGGACAUUCCGAAGGGCAUGCCUGUUUGAGUAUCAUGAACACCUCAACUCUCACGGCUUGUCCGUGAUGAGCUUGGACUUUGGGGGUCUUGCCGGCCUGUGGUCGGCUCCUCUCAAAUGGAUCAGCUUGCCAGUGUUUGGUGGCAUCACAGGUGUGAUAACUAUCUGCGCUUGUGGUUUUCCAUCAGAUAACCUUCAGUGAUAUGGAGGUUCGCUGGAGCUCACAAAUGUCUCUCCUUAGUGAGGACAGCUCUUUGAACGUUUGAUCUCAAAUCAGGUAGGACUACCCGCUGAACUUAAGCAUACCAAUAAGCGGAGGA
rnacentral:misc_RNA from 1 species